GGAUUAGAUAACCUGGUAGUCCACGCCCUAAACGAUGCAUGCUUGGUGUUGGACCUGUAUGGGUUCAGUGCCGUAGGGAAUCUGGUAAGCAUGCCACCUGGGGAGUACGAUCGCAAGGUUGAAACUCAAAGGAAUUGACGGGGGCCCGCACAAGCGGUGGAUCAUGUGGUUUAAUUCGAUGCAACGCGAAGAACCUUACCCGGGCUUGAAGUGUAGGAAGUACAGAGAUGAAAGUCGACGGACCCGUCAAAUCGGGAACCUACAGAGGUGCUGCAUGGCUGUCGUCAGCUCGUGCCG
rnacentral:rRNA from 1 species